rnacentral:rRNA from 1 species
UAAAAAGUCGUAACAGGGUUUCCGUAGGUGAACCUGCGGAUGGAUCAUUAA